GAUGAACGCUAGCGGCAGGCCUAACACAUGCAAGUCGAGGGGUAGAGGAAGCUUGCUUCCUUGAGACCGGCGCACGGGUGCGUAACGCGUAUGCAAUCUACCUUUUACAGAGGGAUAGCCCAGAGAAAUUUGGAUUAAUACCUCAUAGUAUAUAUCAUUCGCAUGUUUGGUAUAUUAAAGUUCCAACGGUAAAAGAUGAGCAUGCGUCCCAUUAGUUAGUUGGUAAGGUAACGGCUUACCAAGACGAUGAUGGGUAGGGGUCCUGAGAGGGCGAUCCGCACCACUGGAACUGGGACACGGACCAGACUCCGACGGGAGGCAGCAGUGAGGAAUAUUGGUCAAUGGACGCAAGUCUGAACCAGCCAUGCCGCGUGCAGGAAGACGGUCCUAUGGAUUGUAAACUGCUUUUGUACGGGAAGAAACACUCCUACGUGUAGGAGCCUGACGGUACCGUAAGAAUAAGGAUCGGCUAACUCCGUGCCAGCAGCCGCCGUAACAC
rnacentral:rRNA from 1 species